AAAAUGCAAUUGUUAUUUAGAAAACCCGGCAUUAAGAGUCAGCCCCAGUUAAAAACAGAAGGAGUGGUGAACUUAAUGGUGGACAAAGAGAUUGGAAAAAGAUAGGAAAGCUAUA